rnacentral:lncRNA from 1 species
UCUGUUACAAGUUUAAAUUAUGUUUAUUGUGAAGGCGAUUUUAAGAUUUUUUUGGAGAUGAACACACGAGAGCUUAUGAUGUUGUAUAAAGAAGAAAUUAUAAGAGGCGAAUAAAUUGAUGGUUCCGUUACAAACGAUGCAAAGAAAUUCAAGACUUCGAAGGUCCCGAAUAGCUUGAAAGUGAAAAGUCUGCUUCAUUCUAAUAAUUCAGAGACCACCGAAGCGCAUGGCGACGCGAACAGAUUCGACAUCACAAGAGAGACUUGGUGACCUUUGUUGAUUAUGAAGAUCAUGAAUUAAGGCGAUGAUGUUAUUGCAACAGUUGAGCAGGCACCAUACACUCCAACAAACAAGAACAAGGGUGACCAACAAGACAAGAAAA